UACGAGGGGGGCAAAUGUUGUCCGGAAUCAUUGGGCGUAAAGAGCGUGUAGGCGGCCACUUAAGUCCUGCGUGAAAUCCUGCGGCUCAACCGCAGGCGGUCGUGGGAAACUGGGUGGCUAGAGUGCGGGAGAGGAGAGUGGAAUUCCUGGUGUAGCGGUGGAAUGCGCAGAUAUCAGGAAGAACACCCGUGGCGAAGGCGGCUCUCUGGAACGCAACUGACGCUGAGACGCGAAAGCGUGGGGAGCAAACAGG
rnacentral:rRNA from 1 species